rnacentral:lncRNA from 1 species
UUCAAUGAUAUUUAUUUUCUAAACAAAUAGCAGGAAUAAUAGUCAAGUGAUUGAGCUCAAACAGUUAAUGAGCUCCACUUAAGAACAAAUCGUUCAGGAGAAUUCGAGUUCAAAUAUUGGGUGGAAUAGUUUGUGGUUAGUGUUUACUUAUCUUUCGGCCGAAAUCCGGAUUCCCAUUCCACUGGAAAAUUAACACAAAAAAGAUAGCAGUAAACUGUAGUACAUUUUAGAAGGAUGAAUGAUGUUGAUAUUUAAUAUUAUUAAUAUUAUUGUCAAUAUAUUCUAGAGUAUUCUUAGCAUAGCAUAUUCCAUAGUAAAUAUUUCUUUGUAAUUAAUGCUCUUAAUAUUAUAUAAUGGAAUGCCUGUGAUGCUCUAACACAC